rnacentral:rRNA from 1 species
AACGAACGCUGGCGGCAGGCUUAACACAUGCAAGUCGAACGCACCGCAAGGUGAGUGGCGCACGGGUGAGUAACGCGUGGGAAUGUACCGUUUAGUACGGAAUAGCUCCGGGAAACUGGAAUUAAUACCGUAUACGCCCUUCGGGGGAAAGAUUUAUCGCUAAACGAUCAGCCCGCGUGAGAUUAGGUAGUUGGUGGGGUAAUGGCCUACCAAGCCUACGAUCUCUAGCUGGUCUGAGAGGAUGAUCAGCCACACUGGAACUGAGACACGGUCCAGACUCCUACGGGAGGCAGCAGUGGGGAAUAUUGGACAAUGGGGGCAACCCUGAUCCAGCCAUGCCGCGUGAAUGAUGAAGGCCUUAGGGUUGUAAAGUUCUUUUACCGAUGAAGAUAAUGACGGUAGUCGGAGAAAAAGCCCCGGCUAACUUCGUGCCAGCCGCCGCUGUAA